rnacentral:tRNA from 1 species
AUUUUUAUAGUGUAAACAACACAUUACAUUUUCAUUGUAAAACUGAAGUUCAUUAAUCUUCUAAAAAUU